rnacentral:lncRNA from 1 species
UACACUGGACCUAGACGGUGACCUGGCGGCAGGCGAGGGAAACACCUGCGCCAACCCUGCUUGCAGGACCCGGGCCAUGCACCUUACCAAUGAGGUCUACCGCCUCCAGGGCGCUCUGGCGGAUGCCAAGGUGAGUGAACGAAAAGUUGGCUGUUAUGUUAAACUGGUAAUCUAAUGACAGUGCUGUAAGGUCAAUUAGGUAAGACAUAUUUAGCAAGAACCACUCUUUUUUCCCCAUGCAGAGGCAGCUGCAGCAGCACCAGCCGCAACAGGCCUCCUCUCCGCCGGAACCGCGGCAUGGGCACGGGCAGGGCCUUAGGUUGCGCGCCUCGGCUUCCGCCCCCUCGCGCACCUCCCCUAUCGCUCCCCUCGAGCUCCAGCUCCUCAUCAGCGGACGAGGAGGGCGAAGAACAGCGGGAACAGGGGCACGGGCAGGGCCUUAGGUUGCGCGCCUCGGCUUCCGCCCCCUCGCGCACCUCCCCUAUCGCUCCCCUCGAGCUCCAGCUCCUCAUCAGCGGACGAGGAGGGCGAAGAACAGCGGGAACAGGGGCAGGGACAGCGCCGUAGGUCACGCGCCUCGGCUUCCGCCCCCUCGCGCGCCUCCCCUACCGCCUCCUCAGAGGAGAAGAGCGAGGAGCCCCAUGCCCAGCCCCCGGAGCACCAGGCCCAGCCCCCGGAGCCCCAGAGGAGCCCGCAGCAGCCUGAGGUGGACACACGGGGGACUAAACAGAAUCUAACGUUUUCCCCGGCUAGUGAGGAGCUGACAGAAACAGAGGCCCCUGUGCCGAAAAAGAAGUCAGAGAAGAGCAAGAGGACAAAGGAGGCAAUUUCUUCUCCCUCUGCCCGUGCUUUCUCUGACACCGAAAAGUCGCCCAAGAAGAAGCUCUCCGCUAUGGAGACGGCCUUCCAAGGCUUGGCCCCCUGCUUGGCUGGGAAAAGUAAGGCCUCCAAGCUGAGGAACAGUCCCUUGGGCACCUCCAUUGAAUCCUACCUGGAGGAUUACUUCACUUUUAUCUUCUGCCCCAAGGGAAAGAGCAAAAUGCAGGAGAACGCAGUUUCUAAGCUGAGCCGGGCAAAGGUAUUUGUUAAAUACCUUUUGCUCGGCUCAGACUCGUCUGCAUCCUGGAACUGGCAGUUCCUGUACAACAUCCCCCUGCUGAAGUCCUACCCCGCAGUCCUCUGCAAAUUUGGCCUUUCGCCGACCACCAUCAGCCUCUACUUGGGCCAGGCCGUCUCAUUUGUGGAGUACUUCAGGGCCAUGCUGCCCAGCCACUCGCGGCUCCACCGUGGGCAAACCAAAAUCCUGGUCCUCAAGCUCAAGAAGCUGAGCAGGGACAUCGGGCGGACCGUCCUGGGACACCAGCUGCUGACCAAGCAAAAAAAGGUCUCCAAGCUGGUGUCCAAGGAGGACCUCCGCCUUUGCCAGCUCCUUGCUCGGGAGAAAAUCCCCUCUCUGCUCGAGGACAUUGAGAAGGCGCCGGCGAGGGACCCCAAGACCCGCUACAGGUUCUUUGGCUACCUCGCAGCCUACCUGUCUGUCAUUUAUGGCCACCGGACGGGGGUCCUCACCCGCAUGAGAGUCAAGGAGGUCCGGCAGGCCAUAGGUGACGACCAGACAGGUUAUCUAAUCAAUGUCCUCGAGCACAAGACUGCCCGGAAAUUCGGAACCGCCCAAAUCUACUUAGAGCCCGAAGAAUUUUUGUGGUUCCAGACCUGGCUCAGGCUGAGAGACAGAGCCGUUGCCAGGAAUGGCUAUUUAUUUUCGUCUCUUGGCCGUGGGGAGGCGAAAGACAUGGCCCGUUAUUUCAGCAAAGCCUGGAAAGAGAUGGGACUCUAG